CCUACGGGAGGCAGCAGUAGGGAAUCUUCCACAAUGGACGAAAGCCUGACGGAGCAACGCCGCGUGGGUGAAGAAGGUCUUCGGAUCGUAAAACCCUGUUGUUAGAGAAGAAAGUGCGUGAGAGUAACUGUUCACGUUUCGACGGUAUCUAACCAGAAAGCCACGGCUAACUACGUGCCAGCAGCCGCGGUAAUACGUAGGUGGCAAGCGUUGUCCGGAUUUAUUGGGUGUAAAGGGUGCGUCGGCGGACUGUUAAGUCAGCGGUAAAAGCCCGGGGCUCAACCCCGGCGAGACGUUGAAACUGGCUGUCUUGAGAGGUCGAGAGGAAUGCGGAAUGCGCAGUGUAGCGGUGAAAUGCUUAGAUAUUGCGCAGAACUCCGAUUGCGAAGGCAGCAUACCGGCGGGGAUCUGACGCUGAGGCACGAAAGCGUGGGUAUCGAACAGGAUUAGAUACCCUUGUAGUC
rnacentral:rRNA from 1 species